rnacentral:rRNA from 1 species
GACGAACGCUGGCGGCGUGCCUAAUACAUGCAAGUUGAGCGCUGAAGGUUGGUACUUGUACCGACUGGAUGAGCAGCGAACGGGUGAGUAACGCGUGGGGAAUCUGCCUUUGAGCGGGGGACAACAUUUGGAAACGAAUGCUAAUACCGCAUAAAAACUUUAAACACAAGUUUUAAGUUUGAAAGAUGCAAUUGCAUCACUCAAAGAUGAUCCCGCGUUGUAUUAGCUAGUUGGUGAGGUAAAGGCUCACCAAGGCGAUGAUACAUAGCCGACCUGAGAGGGUGAUCGGCCACAUUGGGACUGAGACACGGCCCAAACUCCUACGGGAGGCAGCAGUAGGGAAUCUUCGGCAAUGGACGAAAGUCUGACCGAGCAACGCCGCGGGAGUGAAGAAGGUUUUCGGAUCGUAAAACUCUGUUGGUAGAGAAGAACGUUGGUGAGGGUGGAAAGCUCAUCAAGUGACGGUAACUACCCAGAAAGGGACGGCUAACUACGUG